rnacentral:rRNA from 1 species
GACGCUGGCGGCGUGCCUAAUACAUGCAAGUCGAACGGUCUUUCUAUGGAAGCUUGCUUCCACUGAGAAGAUAGUGGCGAACGGGUGAGUAACACGUGGGUAACCUGCCCAUAAGAGGGGGAUAACAUCCGGAAACGGGUGCUAAUACCGCAUAGUUUUCUUGAUCGCAUGAUUGAGAAAGGAAAGACGGCCUUUGUGCUGUCGCUUAUGGAUGGACCCGCGGCGUAUUAGUUAGUUGGUGAGGUAAUGGCUCACCAAGACGAUGAUACGUAGCCGACCUGAGAGGGUGAUCGGCCACAUUGGGACUGAGACACGGCCCAAACUCCUACGGGAGGCAGCAGUAGGGAAUCUUCCGCAAUGGACGAAAGUCUGACGGAGCAACGCCGCGUGAGUGAAGAAGGUUUUUCCGGAUCGUAAAACUCUGUUGUCAGAGAAGAACAAGUUGGAGAGUAACUGCUCCAGCCUUGACGGUAUCUGACCAGAAAGCCACGGCUAACUACGUGCCAGCAGCGGC